rnacentral:rRNA from 1 species
UACAGAGGUCUCGAGCGUUGUUCGGAUUACUGGGCGUAAAGGGCGCGUAGGCGGUCAGCACAAGUCAGUUGUGAAAUCUCCGGGCUUAACUCGGAAAGGUCAACUGAUACUGUGCGACUAGAGUGCAGAAGGGGCAACUGGAAUUCUCGGUGUAGCGGUGAAAUGCGUAGAUAUCGAGAGGAACACCUGCGGCGAAGGCGGGUUGCUGGGCUGACACUGACGCUGAUGCGCGAAAGCCAGGGGAGCGAACGGG